ensembl:lncRNA
CUCGGUGUUUUCUUUUUUGUCCUAUCGCGUCGCUAUAUGCGAAAUUUAACCAAACAUGUGAAAAAUCUUCCUUUGCUCUCGGACGCGUCCGGCUACGCUAAAUUAGAAUUUUAACGGUUUAACAAAAAUCCCAGGUGGCACUGAUAACGUCUUCCCUUUAAAUCCGCAUCCUCGAAAAACCUCUUUCCCUCCGCGCUGCUAGCGGUGCAGCGCGUUACGAAACCAGACCAGGCUCUCUCUUUAUUUAGCUUUCACACAGCAAAACGGUCUGCUGGGGGGGAAAAACAUAUACAGGCUGAGAGGACCCCGUUUUGAGGCAGGACUUCCCAGUGCUCUCCUUUGGAUGUUGGCUGCUUUUUGUUGGUCACUCUGUCAGGAUGAUCCCACACUGCUUUGGUAUUGAGAUCUGGGGAGACCAAUCCAUGACUUAUUGUGAGGCAUGAAGAUUCUAUAUUUUACUCCAGAUUUUGCGUCAGUUCAGAGGGUUAUCUUCGAGGAACUGCAGUUCUACUAAAUAAUUCCUGAGACACUAUGCAGCACCUGGCUGGUGUGCAACAUAAAGCGGGUCAUUGAGAUCUGGGUUAUUCAUAAAGCUCCGGAACAUGGUCAUGAAAGAGUGUCUCAGCACCAUGGGUGCCAUCCUUUUAUGUCCUACACAACAUGAAACAUGGAGUGGAGUUGGG